UACGUAGGGGGCAAGCGUUGUCCGGAAUCACUGGGCGUAAAGCGCGCGCAGGCGGCGAUCUACGUCCGGGGUGAAAGCCCAGAGCUCAACUCUGGGACUGCCUUGGAUACGGGAUCGCCUGAGGAUCGGAGAGGCAAGGGGAAUUCCACGUGUAGCGGUGAAAUGCGUAGAGAUGUGGAGGAACACCUGUGGCGAAGGCGCCUUGCUGGCCGAUUUCUGACGCUGAGGCGCGAAAGCGUGGGGAGCGAACAGG
rnacentral:rRNA from 1 species